GCCAGACUGCGGUCGCGGGGUCAGUGGCGGGGCGCUGUCGUGGCUCUUCUGCUUUGACGUUAUCAGAGUGGAGCAGCGCCUGGGCCCGGGGCUCCUCCUGCUCCCACCAGAUCUCUAAGUUCGGGCAGAACCUGAAUGAACUCAGGGCUGUGACUGACUUUAACACCUUUCAGUGGACCACUGAGAGCUGAGUCCAUGCUGCUGAAAGAAGGGCCCUGUGGAUAUUCACUCUGUAGCCCUCAGGACAUCAUACCUAGCUGUUUAUGCAUCUGAACUUGGGUCUCUGCUGCCAAACUGGAAUUGGAGCAGCGGGAAGGUCUGGAAUGAGGUUCUGCUUGGUCCCAGAGAAGACCCACUCACUGCUUCUCCAUCAUGUCCACCUGCAGUUCGAAACCUUUGCACUGAUCAUCUUCCAUGCGCUGUUGAGAUCUGCCUUUCAGAAGCCUUUCUGCAGUCUCAUGAAUGGAUGGACACACUCUGACUUCCUCUCCCACAGAUGCUACCUCUCUCCAGGCGUAUCAUGGCUCCUGCAGCCAUGUCUGGCCUCCACAGAACACUCAGCACAGAGUUACCAAAGUAGGAGUUCAGGAAAUACCUUUGAAUGA
rnacentral:lncRNA from 1 species